rnacentral:lncRNA from 1 species
AUCUCCUUACUCCUAAGAGUUAUGUUUCUCUUAAGUUAGUCCAAGGUCAUUAAUUUUUGAGAUUUUUCAUAUCAUAUGGCUGAAGAACACUAAACUUUUAGUCUACUAACUUUGAUAACAAAGUGUCAAACCCUAGAACUGAAGUUGUAGUCUGGUGGGAAAUUAAUGGAGUCUUAGCCACAGUGGGGGAGCAACCCCAGGCAAUGUUCUGGAAUCUUGGGAGAGCAAGAGUUUCUGUCAGAGAGAGACAGUUAGCUCUCUCAAUUCUGAAACAGCCUAAGAAGAGGUCUGGUCAAGACUUGCUCCUGAGGAAAGACGUACAUCUUCUACUGGCUCCUUCCUGUUCAUCACUGAAAAGUCGGAAUACGUUCAGUACUGGAAGUGGAGGUAUAAUACAAUGCAUUGUUAUCCAUUUUGGAAGCUAUAAUUAUGUUAGUGAUGGCUAG